ensembl:lncRNA
GUACACUGAAAAAAAGGGACUGGCCAUCUCUUGGAUUUAUGUAAGCAUCUUGCAUGUAUUUAACACAAUUGCCUCAUGUUUUAAAGUUAAAUGUCACUAUAUAGUGUAAAAACUACAUGAUAUGCAGAAAGGGUGUAUUAAAUUGUUCAUAUCAUGUUCAGGUGAAGUAAGUUAAUAAGAUAGCAACGUUAAAUCUCGUGAAACCACGCGUGAUUUCAUCUCGCGGGCUUUGGAUCGUGGUUUAAAAAAGGCAUCCAUCUCAGUCAAGUCGAGCAGCCAACUCUACGUUUUUGGAGUCAGCUGAUGGAUUGUGGGUUCAAGGUGUUAUGAUGAAAUGCAGCAUUCCAGUGCAUCCCAACCAUGCAUACAGUCAAGGUUUCUGACGGAGCUGAGUUUCUCUCUGACAGUCUACUGAAAGUGUUUGCAAAGUGAUCGGGGGAACAGGGCACAAAGCUAAUGGAUGUAGCUGCCAUUAUGACAGAUGACAUUAAUGCUCGGAGUCCCUCAUCAAAGUGCUCCGCAUCUGUGUGAAAGACAAUUGCAACAUCUUGGUGCAGGAGUUCAUGGACUUGACUGAGGCCACUGCACAGAUUGAGAAAACCACAAUGAACAUCUGUCUCCAGAGAUGCGCCAGGCAAUGACUUUUCUGAUGUUGUUCUUCAAGAUCUGGAUAACGUGACCUUUGCAGUAGC